rnacentral:rRNA from 1 species
GACAGAGGGGGCAAGCGUUGCUCGGAAUCACUGGGCGUAAAGGGCGCGUAGGCGGGAUGGCAAGUCAGUCGUGAAAUCUCUCGGCUCAACCGAGAAACGUCGGCUGAUACUGCCGUUCUUGAGGGAUGCAGAGGAGACUGGAAUUCCCGGUGUAGCGGUGAAAUGUGUAGAGAUCGGGAGGAACACCGGUGGCGAAGGCGGGUCUCUGGGCAUUUCCUGACGCUGAGGCGCGAAAGCGUGGGGAGCGAUCGG